rnacentral:rRNA from 1 species
UACGGAGGAUGCAAGCGUUAUCCGGAAUGAUUGGGCGUAAAGCGUCCGCAGGUGGCUGUGUAAGUCUGCUGUUAAAGAGUCUAGCUCAACUAGAUACAAGCAGUGGAAACUACACGGCUAGAGUACGUUCGGGGCAGAGGGAAUUCCUGGUGUAGCGGUGAAAUGCGUAGAUAUUGGGAAGAACACCGGUGGCGAAAGCGCUCUGCUGGACCUGCACUGACACUGAGGGACGAAAGCUAGGGGAGCGAAAGGG